GCUGAAAAAGAGACCUGUGUCAACCAGGAGUCCUCAAGAGAGAGCCCACGCUGCCUGACUGGAGAACAGGCAGUCCGCCCACUACCACUCCUGACACCAGGGAAAUCAGGCUCUUUCACAGUAGGGAGGCAUUCCAAGCUGGGAUUUCUUCUAGACACCCCCACCCGCAAGACAAAACCAUUUGUGGCAAGGUCAAGAUGGGAAUGAGUUAACAUCACAGGAGGCCUGGCUAUGUACUCUGGACUGGAUCUGAACCUGCUAUAUAGCCCAGGUUGGCCUCAAAUUUGCAAUCCUCCCGCCUCAGCCUCCCAAAUGCUGGGAUUACAGGUGAGGGCUACGACGCCUGGCUUGACUUUUGAGUUUACAUCCCCCUAAAAUGACCCACCAGCUCAGAGGCCAAAGUUACCCAACAUGUGUAUAAGGGGUCCCUCUUCUUCCAAAAGGAGGCAAUCCAGAAUAACAAAAACAAAAGAAGUGCUAUCAGAAGAUACAAACUUACACUGAAGAAUAAAUGCCAUCUACCCAAGCCUGUCCCAAAUUGCAAGUCCCACCAGAAGCAGAUAAUUGGGUACGACACUCCUCCCGAACCAAUUCU